UUCGGUGGUAAUAGUGCUGUGGUUCCACCUCUUCCCUUUUCGAACAGAGAAGUUAAGCACAGUUACGCCAAUGGUACUGAGAAAUCGGGAGAGUAGGAAACUGCCAAAA
rnacentral:rRNA from 1 species